AUUGAACGCUGGCGGCAUGCUUUACACAUGCAAGUCGAACGGCAGCGCGGGCUUCGGCCUGGCGGCGAGUGGCGAACGGGUGAGUAAUACAUCGGAACGUGCCCAGUAGUGGGGGAUAGCUCGGCGAAAGCCGGAUUAAUACCGCAUACGACCUGAGGGUGAAAGCGGGGGAUCUUCGGACCUCGCGCUCUUGGAGCGGCCGAUGGCCGAUUAGCUAGUUGGUGGGGUAAAGGCCUACCAAGGCGACGAUCUGUAGCUGGUCUGAGAGGACGACCAGCCACACUGGGACUGAGACACGGCCCAGACUCCUACGGGAGGCAGCAGUGGGGAAUGUUGGACAAUGGGCGAAAGCCUGAUCCAGCAAUGCCGCGUGUGUGAUGAAGGCCUUCGGGUUGUAAAGCACUUUUGGCGGGAACGAAAAGGACUGUGCCAAUACCACGGUUCGAUGACGGUACCCGCAGAAUAAGCACCGGCUAACUACGUG
rnacentral:rRNA from 1 species